GCUUCAUUUGUCAAAUUCCUAGACAGAGCAAUUAGGUAAGACAAAAAGGCAACCAACCUGGAAUUGUGUCUGCACUAAGCUUGGCAUCAAUAUGGUGACCUCCUGAAAGUGGAGUACCACCAGGAUGCCUAAGGAGGGGUGAACUGACCUAGGUUGGAAAGGGAGCAGGUCAGAACUCCUGUGCUGAUCAGUGGUGGAAUCACUACACUGUUCCUUUUUGCAGAUGACAUGAUUUU
rnacentral:sRNA from 1 species